GAUUAAAGGUCCUUUCUGCCACGGAACACUCGGGGAAGCUUGGUCUCUCUUUCCUCCUGCCAAAGGGGGACAGCGCGGCCGAGCUCCACUCUGGGAAAACCAGCAGAGAGUCCGCAACCAGAUCCGUUAAUUGGUGCCCACCGUUGGAUUGAGACCUACGUGGAAUUUUCUACCGUGUAGAGGAUUUUCAGAGAUCUCCGGGCUCAAGUGACGAAGCAGUGACGGCUUCCCACUCAAACGGUAUCCUGCAACUCAGCGCAGGAUUUGGCCUAUUGCUUAGCACAGCCCUGCAUCAACAUCAAAGGAGUAGGAGGAGCCCAGUCACCACUCCAAAGUGCCUGCACACUAUUGAUUGAAGGUCCUGAAGACUCUCGUAGGUUUGUGUUCACAGUACCCUCCAUCAACGCAGCAGAACCAUCUCAAUGCUAUCACUGGACCAUCCUGCCUCAAGGAAUGAGAAAUAGCCCCUCUGUGUGCCAGAGAGUCAUCGCAGAGGUCUUGUCUCCAGUUCAUCGGCAGGUUCCCCAGACCAUCCUGUGCCACUACAUAGACGACAUCCUACUGGCUGCUGAAUCCAAGGAGCAACUCGCACAAUUUCAUUUGACUGUGAAAGCUGCUCUGUUAAGACACGGCCUUGAGAUUGCACUGGAAAAAGAACAAAUGACAAUGCCAUGGAAGUACCUCGGAUUUCACAUCAAUAACACCACAAUUCAACCUCAGACUGUUGCCUUACCUUCCAACAUCCACACCUUAAAUGACUUAUUAUCCUUGCUAGGUUUAAUUAAUUGGGUUAGACCUCUCCUAGGUAUAACAACAGACUCUCUAAAACCACUAUUCCAACUUCUGAAAGGGGAGGUGGACCUGACAUCCCCUUGACACCUGAUACCAGAAGCCCGAGCAGUGUUACAGGACAUAAAUCAGAGACUGAGUGCAUGUCAGACUAAGCAGAGAGUGUGUGGGUUACCGGUGGUAUUAGUAAUUUUUAAGGGUAUCAAGCAGCCCUAUGCUGUUCUAGGACAAUUAGAUCUAAAAAGCAAGAACUUUCUGUUAUGGGAAUGGGUUUUUCUAAGCUUUCAAUUUUCUAAAUCGAUUACAACAUAUCCUGAAAUGCUCUCCAAGGUGUGUCACAAAAGCAGACUGCGGCUGUGGGAACUUUUGGGAAGGGACCCAGAAGUCAUAUAUGUUCCCCUGUCUACUGUCAGCUAACCCAGUUGUUGAUUCACAGUGACGAUUUCCAGUUACCUAUUGCUGAUUUUAAGGGUCAAUUUUCAGUACACCUCCCACCUAUCCCUUUUCUACAGCUACUAGCUCUCACCCAACCAGAGCUAACAAAUAAUUAUUCACCUUUCCCACUAACGAAUGCUAGAACUGUUUUUACAGAUGGUUCGGGUAGGACGUCUAACACAGUAGUCACCUGGCAAAAGGCAGGGAAGUGGGUAUUUGACACGCACAAGGUAAGAGGUUCCUCUCAGAUAGCGGAGCUCUCUGCAGUAAUACACGCAUUUCAACUGUUUCUAGAGCCUCUGAAUAUUGUUUCUGAUUCGGCCUAUGUGGUUGGAGUGGUCCGACAAAUUGAAAACUCUUACAUAAAGGACCUCUCCCAAUUACAAUUAGCUCACAUGUUCAAAACACUAUGGUAUGAAAUUAGUCAGUGCAAACACAAAUUCCACAUAAUCCACAUCCACUCUCACACUUCCCUCCCAGGGCCCAUCGCAGAAGGAAACCAUGUCAGAGAUGAAAUAGCUGACACAGGACACCUGGCACAAACUGCAGUGGUCCCAAAUAAUUUUGAAAAAGCCAAACUGUCCCACAGCUUUUUUCAUCAGAACAUAAAAUCCCUCACAAAAACAUUCAACCUCACACUCUCUCAAGCUAGAACCAUCAUCUCUGCAUGCCCAAAUUGCCAAAGACUUACUCCCCUGCCAUCGGAGGGAGUAAAUCCUCGUGGAAUUAAUCCACUAAACAUUUGGCAGUCAGACAUAACACAUUAUGCACCAUUUGGGAAAUUAAAGUACAUUCAUGUGUCUAUCGACACAUGUUCUGGUGCUAUUGCAGCAACAGCUCAAUCAGGAGAAAAGGCUCGAGAUGUCAAAAAACACUUCAUGUCUGCCAUAUCAAUUCUCAGCAUCCCCAAAACCGUGAAAACCGACAAUGGCCCAGCCUACACCUCUCAAUCAUUAAAAGAAUUUUUUAAUGUGUGGGGAAUUACACGUCACAGGUAUCCCCCAUUCCCCGACUAGCCAAGCUAUAGUAGAACGUGGCCACCAAACGCUAAAAACCAUGUUAACCAAACAACAAAACACAACCAUCGGGCUCACACCCCAAGAGAAGUUAAAUAAAGCCUUGUACGUCAUCAAAUUCCUAAAUAGGUUAGAACAGGACACCUUACCCAUAGAAAGACACUUCAAUUCACACCAGAAUCAAGUCUGAACUAAUGCCAGAGUUAUUUAUAAAGAUGUAAUAACAGGUGAAUGGGUUGGCCCUGUUCCUCUUAUCACCUGGGGAAGGGGGCAUGCUUGUGUUUCCACAGGUUCCGGUCCGAAGCGAGUUCCUUCUCAUCUAGUGAAAUUGCACAACAGUGACCAAGUACCAUCAUGAUCUACGUUAUUCUUGCCAUCUUAAGCCAUCCUGUCAUCUCAUCGAACCAGUUUUCUCCUACAAAUCCUCCACUGCCAGAUUGGGUAGUUGUAGACCCUGGAAACAUGUGGACUUCUCUAGCUAAGUCUUUAGA